rnacentral:rRNA from 1 species
GUAUCUGAACCUUCGGGGAACGAUAACGGCGCAAUUGGCCGACGGGCGAGUAAUGCCUAGGAAAUUGCCCUGAUGUGGGGGGUAACCAUUGGAAACGAUGGCUAAUACCGCAUGAUGCCUACGGGCCAAAGAGGGGGACCUUCGGGCCUCUCGCGACAGGAUAUGCCUAGGGGGGAUUAGCUAGAUGGGGAGGCAAGGGCUCACCAAGGCGACGAUCCCUAGCUGGCCGGAGAGGAUGAUCAGCCACACUGGAACUGAGACACGGCCCAGACCCCUACGGGAGGCAGCAGGGGGGAAUAUGGCACAAUGGGCGCAAGCCAGAUGCAGCCAUGCCGCGAGUGAGAAGAAGGCCUCCGGGAUGAAAAGCACUUCCAGCCGGGAGGAAGGAAGCGCAGCCAACAGCAGCAACACCCGACGGGAGCGACAGAAGAAGCACCGGCAAACGCCGGGCCAGCAGCCGCGGAAACACGGAGGGCGCGAGCGAAAACCGGAAUCACGGGGCGAAAAGCGCACGCAGGAGGCAAGAAAAGACAGACGCGAAAGCCCGGGGCUCAACCCCGGAAGUGCAUAAGAAACCGGCAGACAAGAGCA